rnacentral:rRNA from 1 species
UACGUAGGGUGCGAGCGUUGUCCGGAAUUAUUGGGCGUAAAGAGCUCGUAGGCGGUUUGUCGCGUCUGCUGUGAAAUCCCGAGGCUCAACCUCGGGCCUGCAGUGGGUACGGGCAGACUGGAGUGCGGUAGGGGAGAAUGGAAUUCCUGGUGUAGCGGUGGAAUGCGCAGAUAUCAGGAGGAACACCGAUGGUGAAGGCAGUUCUCUGGGCCGUAACUGACGCUGAGGAGCGAAAGCGUGGGGAGCGAACAGG